UACGCCCACAUCACUUUGAAACACUAGUUCUCGUCAAAACAUCGAAGUUAAGCAAAAUUGAACAUGUUUAGUAUGUAACGGGUGACCGCUUGGGAACACCAGGUGCUGUAA